rnacentral:rRNA from 1 species
AUGCUCACAAAUGCUGAAUUGCGGAAAGUCUUCUCCAGGUGGAACAAGGGUUCACUCCUCAGUUUCUCGGUCAAGAUCACUUCCAAUAUAGUUGGUAUCAACCAGACUGAAUGCUCCUUGUUCGACAAGGUCUUGGACAAAAUUGACAUGAAGGCUGGAAAUGGAAAAUUGAUGGUGCACUCUUCCAUUGAGUCGUCCUUAGAUGCAGUCGCUCGUUUCUUUAAGCACCAUGCUGCAAAUCUUUCACUAGAUCGAGCUGGUUGCGGUGCGCAGCAGUGCGUGCGUGCUACCGCAAAUGGGCCGGCCCAGGCGGACGUCGAUGACAAGGAGUCCAUCGUUGCCAAGGCGCAUACCCUCCUCAUAUCAGGGUUGUGCCGACCCCCGCCAGCCAUCCUCUCGGUUGCUGCUAUGGCCGUGGCCAGCACAGGCUCGUCAGUCGCUCGUCCUCCGCAACACUGUUCCCUGAGCUCGUCCGUCACAACCGAGAUGUAUCGUGCGCCGCCGCUCCAUGGCUACGGGCAGACACGAUUGGAGAAUAACAAGACAUGUGGUACACGCGUGAUCCUCUGCUUCCGGCAGCACGUGUGCACGAUUGCACCCCGUCGGGCCUUCGUAGGCAAGUCUCUAACCUUAGUGGCUUUUCUGUCUUGCGGCUUCACCAGCGAACUCUCCAGGCGCUACUGCCCGAUGAUGGAUCUCAUACUGCACACCAACGACGGCAUGCUCUCCGUGACAUACACACCACCUACUACCACUCCAAGAUUUUGUGGGGCCCCUAUGAUGGGCACUGGCCCCACCACCGUAGUGUGCGUCUGUAACACCUUCCCACUGCCCCGUGGGAGUGGUUGUUGUUCAGGAGCACCUGUUCACAAUUAUGCUAGGCAUGAUUUGGUGCAUGGUGAUGGGUUUGCUUCCAUUGGAUCUUCCGGAAUUGACAACACAUAUUGUCUUUUUCAUGAUGCCUCCUAA